GGAUGUGAGCGCAAUUUGGCUGCUACAUCUAUCAUGUCACUGACCACCAGGGUUGAUUCAGCAUAUCCUGCUGGUUAGGCAAGUGUUCCUUCCUCCCUCAUCACUCCAAGUGUAUCCUUCCCGUAGCUGCAUGCUCAGUAGAAGAGAACAACCUUCCCUGGUAGAAGAGAAUGGUUCUUCGUUCGGUCAAGGGUACAUGAGUAGCUUCACCCCCCAAACCUGUUCUCAGGGUCUAUCAGGUAAGUGCAAAUUAAAACCAUAACAUCAGGGCACCUGGGUGGCUC
rnacentral:snRNA from 1 species